CAAGUACUGCUGUCUGUAUACCUGUGACAACAAUUCGAAAAGGCCGAUCUGUGUAGAUGCUAGAGGUGGGUGUGCCUGGCUGGAGGAAGAAUGCUAAGAGGAACAUGGGAGGAUGUCAAAAAAACCUAGACCCACUUCACAAAUCUGUGCAAGACUAGCCUUCCCCUGCAAAACUGAGACCACCCUCAGGAGCUAACACUUUGCCAUAUGGCAUACCUACGUACUAUCGCUCCCACAGGAAACGUUGGAAUUCAAACCAGGACUUGUUACUGAUACAGCUAUCGAGGAAAAACAUCAGGGAGUGAGCAUGGCCAUUUCAUCUCCGCCCCCAGUGGAAAGCAGUCCAGCAGCAGGAUGCAGGGUGUCUUAGUGGAGUCCCUCAUUACUCUGCCCCUUGCUCAGGCAUAAAUCAUUCUCUAAUUACAGAUCAGGCAUAAAUCGUUCUGGAACCAUGGUGCUCACUAAAUGUUAUUGUGUUAUUGAGACAUAAAUCCUAUGUCAGCUCGAUGAAAUGUCUGCGGCCAUUGGGUUAAACAAGUCAAGGCAGCUACUUAAUGAUCUCCAAACACUCGAUUAUUAAAGUUCAGAGAAUGUUCCAGUGGAAAACAUGUUAAAGUGGACUUUAAACAACUGUUUCUCACAUUUGUUUGAAAUGAAUGAGGUAACAUGUAGCCUAUUUUCUACUAGUGAGCAACUCACAUCCAUGAUGAAGCCAACACUGUUAUCAGAAAAGAGACAAAAAGAAAUUAAAUCCUUGAUCAUAUUAUUGAGCUGGAUGAGCCAGUCCUGACACACACUUCCAAGCAUGUAAGUCAAAAAAAUGUAGUUACUCUUGUAGCCAGUUUGAUUUGGGUUUUCUGUUCUUUGCAUCUGAAAGCAUCUUAAGUGUUUCACUUGCCUAAAGCUUUAUUGAAAUGAAAAAAUAGAAUGUCCUUUUUUUUC
rnacentral:lncRNA from 1 species